GGAGACGUGGCGGAGCGGUUGAACGCGUCCGACUACGAAUCGGAAGAACCGAACACUGGCAGCGCCGACGAAGCCAAGUCAGUAAAAGGUUCCGUGGGUUCGAAUCCCACCGUCUCCG
rnacentral:tRNA from 1 species